rnacentral:rRNA from 1 species
AACGAACGCUGGCGGCAUGCCUAACACAUGCAAGUCGAACGAGACCUUCGGGUCUAGUGGCGCACGGGUGCGUAACGCGUGGGAACCUGCCUUUAGGUUCGGAACAACUCAGAGAAAUUUGAGCUAAUACCGGAUGAUGUCUUCGGACCAAAGAUUUAUCGCCUUUAGAUGGGCCCGCGUUGGAUUAGCUAGUUGGUGGGGUAAAGGCCUACCAAGGCGACGAUCCAUAGCUGGUCUGAGAGGAUGAUCAGCCACACUGGGACUGAGACACGGCCCAGACUCCUACGGGAGGCAGCAGUGGGGAAUAUUGGACAAUGGGCGAAAGCCUGAUCCAGCAAUGCCGCGUGAGUGAUGAAGGCCUUAGGGUUGUAAAGCUCUUUUACCCGAGAUGAUAAUGACAGUAUCGGGAGAAUAAGCUCCGGCUAACUCCGUG